CGCAAGAAGAGGAGAGCCCUGCAUCAAGCAGCAAGGACACUUGCUCCGGCACACAAGCAGGCUGCCACACCUAUUCCGGCAACCACAAGACGACCAAGCGCGGUCGUUGCAACUAGCACGCCGACCGCUCCUAGCCGGACUACUGCACCAAGCCUGGCCACCAUACUCGUUCCGGCUACCACAAGCGCACCUAAGCCAGCCACGGCAUCAAGCCCUACAAAGGUACCAACUUUGUCUGUCAAUCCCAUUCUAUCUAUCAUAGGCGUACCUAGUCCAACCACCACAUCAAGCCUGGCCACUACAACAACCCCGACUGCAGUGUUGUUCCCUAGAAGCACACUCAGCUCUGCCUCUACACCAAGCUUCACCACAACAUCCAGCCCAGUGACCGCACCAAAGUCCAGUACCAAAUACACUGUGGCCAUCGAAAUCGUACUCAGCCCAGUCUUUCCACCCAGCUGCCAAACAACUUCACCAUGCACUGGUGGCAUGCCCAUUUCCGCAAAUCGCAAUGUAACGUUCAAGAAGGAAGGGUCUAGCAUAUGCGCUGCCACUCGCGCCGCAGAGCGCAAGAAGAGAAUAGUCUUGCAACGAACUUUUGUGUUACCUAAUCAAGCCACUACACCAAACCCUGCUACCAUGCCUGCCGCUGUCAACCGGGCUGAUGUAAUAAGUCUCCCAAACACACCAAGCCCUGAUUUUGGCGCAUCUACAGCUACUGCACUAGGCGACGAUGUGACUGCCACUGCUGUAGUGCACGCAACAAGAUUCAGGGAAGAAAGAGCUAGGUCCAGUGGUGCCACCCGAGCUGCAGAGCACAAGAAGAGGAGACCCUUACACCAGACGGCUAUGGCGGCUGGUCCUGCACCAAAUCAGGUUGCCAUGCCUAUUCCGGCAGCAUGCCUAUUCCGGCAGCCACAAAUCCAUGCCCGGUGCUAG
rnacentral:lncRNA from 1 species